rnacentral:hammerhead_ribozyme from 1 species
AUUCAGUUGACGAGUCUCAAAUAGGACAGAACGCGCGUCAAGCCGGAU